rnacentral:rRNA from 1 species
UACGUAGGGUGCGAGCGUUGUCCGGAAUUACUGGGCGUAAAGAGCUCGUAGGUGGUUUGUCGCGUUGUUCGUGAAAACUCACAGCUUAACUGUGGGCGUGCGGGCGAUACGGGCAGACUGGAGUACUGCAGGGGAGACUGGGAAUUCCUGGUGUAGCGGUGGAAGUGCGCAGAUAUCAGGAGGAACACCGGUGGCGAAGGCGGGUCUCUGGGCAGUAACUGACGCUGGAGGAGCGAAAGCCGUGGGGAGCGAACAGG